GUGCAAACCAGCUAGCUGAGCAGAGGCACAGUGAGUGGACCAAGCGUGUUGUCAGGCCACGAAAUUAAGCUUUUGGUUUUGUAUCCCAAGAACUGAUGAAGCAAGUCUGAAGUUCGUCAUCCACUGUGUUCCCACAGACUGCAGAGCUUGGCGGAUGACCAAAACCAACCUCGCAGUUCAGAAGACCAGUUGUCCAAAGCAAAAAAGUUCUAUGCUGCCAGCCCCAGUGCCAAGCUGACCAGUUGUGGACUACACUACAUCAUGAUGUACCUUUGUACUAAUCUCUACCCCUCAACAUGUCUCGCUUGGGAGGGUCUGCUAGGAGUAUCCAUCUGGAGCAGAAGCUCCCCGCAUCAGUUGGAAAGACCCA